rnacentral:rRNA from 9 species
CUUGAUACUUAUAGCGCAGUGGACCCACAUCGAUCCAUCCCGAACUCGAUUGUUAAACACUACAGCGGCAAUGAUACUGAAGGGGAAGCCUUUUGGGAAAGUAGCUCAGUGCCAAGG